rnacentral:rRNA from 1 species
UACCACACCUAAAAAACUUUCCACGUGAACCGUAUCAACCCACUUAGUUGGGGGCUAGUCCCGGCGGCUGGCUGUCGAUGUCAAAGUUGACGGCUGCUGCUGUGUGUCGGGCCCUAUCAUGGCGAGCGUUUGGGUCCCUCUCGGGGGAACUGAGCCAGUAGCCCUUAUUUUUUAAACCCAUUCUUGAAUACUGAAUAUACUGUGGGGACGAAAGUCUCUGCUUUUAACUAGAUAGCAACUUUCAGCAGUGGAUGUCUAGGCUCGCACAUCGAUGAAGAACGCUGCGAACUGCGAUACGUAAUGCGAAUUGCAGGAUUCAGUGAGUCAUCGAAAUUUUGAACGCAUAUUGCACUUCCGGGUUAGUCCUGGGAGUAUGCCUGUAUCAGUGUCCGUACAUCAAACUUGGCUCUCUUCCUUCCGUGUAGUCGGUGGAUGGGGACGCCAGACGUGAGGUGUCUUGCGGGUGGUCUUCGGGCUGCCUGCGAGUCCCUUGAAAUGUACUGAACUGUACUUCUCUUUGCUCGAAAAGCGUGACGUUGUUGGUUGUGGAGGCUGCCUGUGUGGCCAGUCGGCGACCGGUUUGUCUGCUGCGGCGUUUAAUGGAGGAGUGUUCGAUUCGCGGUAUGGUUGGCUUCGGCUGAACAAUGCGCUUAUUGGACGUUCUUCCUGCU